rnacentral:rRNA from 1 species
GACGAACCGUCCUAACGUUGUUCGGAAUCACUGGGCUUAAAGGGCGCGUAGGCGGGCGGCCAAGUCUAGGGUGAAAUCUUUCGGCUUAACCGGAAAAUAGCCUUGGAUACUGGCUGUCUCGAGGGAGGUAGGGGCCGUUGGAACUUCCGGUGGAGCGGUGAAAUGCGUUGAUAUCGGAAGGAACGCCGGUGGCGAAAGCGAACGGCUGGACCUUUUCUGACGCUGAGGCGCGAAAGCCAGGGGAGCAAACGGG